rnacentral:misc_RNA from 1 species
UACUACCCUCAACCAAUUCCAGUAUGGCAAUUGAUUGGAGCUGGCUUUCCGGUGUUCCGAUUAGGUUGCCGGUCAGCUGAAAAAUAUUCGCGCUGUGGGAGCUGCUUUCCCUUCAAAAAGGAAAGCCGAGUUCCGAUUUGGUAGGUGACCUUUGCCGGUUGCAUGCCUUCGUUGCUCGCAAUGGCUUCCAUGAAAGCGUGUGCAGGACGCCUUUUUGGC